UGGUAGCCAUAAAUGGUUCCUAAGACUAUUU
rnacentral:piRNA from 1 species